AGUGAACGCUGGCGGUAGGCCUAACACAUGCAAGUCGAACGGCAGCACAGUAAGAGCUUGCUCUUACGGGUGGCGAGUGGCGGACGGGUGAGGAAUACAUCGGAAUCUACUUUUUCGUGGGGGAUAACGUAGGGAAACUUACGCUAAUACCGCAUACGACCUACGGGUGAAAGCAGGGGAUCUUCGGACCUUGCGCGAUUGAAUGAGCCGAUGUCGGAUUAGCUAGUUGGCGGGGUAAAGGCCCACCAAGGCGACGAUCCGUAGCUGGUCUGAGAGGAUGAUCAGCCACACUGGAACGGAGACACGGUCCAGACUCCUACGGGAGGCAGCAGUGGGGAAUAUUGGACAAUGGGCGCAAGCCUGAUCCAGCCAUACCGCGUGGGUGAAGAAGGCCUUCGGGUUGUAAAGCCCUUUUGUUGGGAAAGAAAGGCAGCAGGUUAAUACCCCGCUGUUCUGACGGUACCCAAAGAAUAAGCACCGGCUAACUUCGUG
rnacentral:rRNA from 1 species